GUCUCGGUUAGUAGGUCUAGGUGCUAUUCAGGCUGGAAUUUUGAGUCUGACCUCCCAGAGCGCAUGCUGCUAGGGGUAGAAACACCUGUCUGGAAACAGAAUAAAUGUCAGAAGGGGAUCUGUCCCUUUGCCUGCUGCUGACCCUUUCCAUGACCAGUGCUGGGGCAGGAGGAGAUGCAGACAACAGUGGGUUUAAGAGCAUCUUACACACAACGUCGUGUCCCAGUUUAUGACUGAGAAUAAGCCAUUAUCACCAUUUUUUCUGUUUGAUUUGUUGUCAUUUUUAUAGGAACAAGGAGAUGAAGGCAUUCUGGAUUUUGUGAAGGUUUCUCAUCUGGCUUUUUAAAAAAACCCAUCAACGCGGCAAGACCCAAGGCUCUGGGAGCAUACUGUAGCCUUUAAAGAGAGUCCUGUGCCUGGAUCCCCUGAAAUGUAUGCUGGGGUUAAUAUGCUGAAAGGUGGCUUCAGAAGCAAAGUGACAUCAAGGUCCUCAAUUCUGUAACUGGCCAUGGCCAUCAUCACUGUCUUCAGGUGAUAAGUGGCUGACUCCAUCACACCCACCCUGCACACUCUCCUCCUGACACAACUGACCUUCCCGUUGUGCCUGAGGGACUGAGAGACUUUCCGUGGCAGAAGGUGGUUGGACCCCACGUGGACAUACGCUGUUUACGGGGGGCGGCAAUCUCUCUCUCUCUCUUUGUGUUGACCUGGUGGUAUUCGCCACCAGCGUGUCCCCCCACCCUCACUGAGGGUAGCCAAGUGGCCCAGGGGGACCAGUGGAGUCCUCUAACCCCAGUCACUGGUCAGAGAUGGGCAAGUGACUGAGUGUGGACAAGUGGCUUUCUCAGUACAAGGCUGUUCACUUCCUCCUGAGGAGGUGACCACCAGGGGCAGGAAGGAAAGGCAGAGAUGAAAAGAGAACCAGCAAGCUCCUUGUUUGCUCUCCUGCGAGGCAGGUGCUAUCAUGAAAAACCCUCUAGUUUAUAAAAGAACAUGCAUACAUGCUAAGUCAGUUACCGCGCCCUGCCCUCCAGGGGAUCUUCCUGACCCAGGGAUCGAACCCAUGUCUCUUACAUCUCCUGUGUUGCAGGUGGGUUCCUUACCACUAGCACCACCUGGGAAACCCUUAUAAAAGAACAGUUGGGUCGAAGUCAUGUUUCUGGAAGCUGGAAUAAAUUAAGGUUAGCUGCUCAGUUGUGGGGAAAACAUUUAAGGUUUUUCAUUCACCUGAGCUCCCCAUACCCUUGCUUCUCUUUUUUCCCUUCUGAUAAGAAUUACCUCCCUGAAGUUUCUAAGAGCUGGCCUGGGUUAGAGUUCCUGGAGGAGACCAGGUGGAACAUCCCCAUCUCAAAGGAGCCGGGAAAGCAUGGGAGUUCCUCCAAGAAGGACUUUCCCUUCCUAAAUCCAGGUCUUUUAUAAUGUCCGCACCUCCCCCCUUUUGAGAUGAAGAGGGGUUGCUUUGAAUGCCUUCUAGAACUGCAUUUCUGUUCUUGUAGAGACUAGGUUUGUAAGACAGGACUGUUUCUAAUUCCACAAGGAAUUGGGUUGCAGCUUAAAUGAACGAAGCCAACAAGAUUUUUUUUACUUUGUUGAAUUUUUUUUUUUUAAACAGCGGUGACAGCCUUGGGAUCCCAAGAGGACUUCACAGUCCAAGAUUCCUGUUUUGAGUUCUCUCCAGCUUUAUUCCGGAUUUGGACAAAGACAGAUUGUCCUUCUGAGCCUGCAGAUGGGAUCCUGGUCAAUCCAGCAGACACCAGCCAGGGUGAGCAUUCUGACCAGAGUCAGUUCUGAAUCUGCCUACCAGGGCCAGCUGAGAGAGAAAGGUAAACUUUCACAUCCCUUCCUUUCCAAAUCCAGACACACUGGUUGAUCUUUUCUCUCUCAGGGGCUAUUGCUGCCUUCUGGUCUGUCUUGUUUUGUGUCCUGAGAACUUGGUGAACGUCAGGUUGGACAAACAGCACAGAAAUGUAAAUUGCACCCGUUUGUAGCUCAGGUCCUGCCUGAUGGGUGCCAGCCCUCAGGGGGAACUGAGUCUUCCCUUUUGGUAAUGGGAGUGGCUCUGGAUCUGGGAGGGUGGUAUCCUUGGCACCCUCUUUGGGAAUGCAUCUUGCGUCCGUGAGGUCUUUCAAUAUGGCCAGGAAUAUUUACUGUUUGUCCUCCUGACAAGAUAUUUAAAAGGUUGUUUAAGUGGCUCUAUGGUCAGAAGUUGGCCAAACUGGAAGCUGAUAUUCAGAGCCUAUUGGGGAUAAAGUUCCUAAGUCAAAAUGAAAAUGUGUACCCAGAGGGAAAGAAAAACAUUCCAAAGACAAAGCUCUAAAUCUGGAGCAUAGGAAUCUUUUGAAUUCCAUCUUAGUCAAUCUUCUGCCUGAUCUAAAGAAGCAAAUAGAAGAUGAUAUAGUUGGAGGCGUGAGACAGCCUGUGAUGUCAUUCACAUUGUAACCUGUCCUUGUCUUAUAAACCUAGUCUUUACAAGAAUAGAAAUGCAGGUUUAGAAGCAAAUCAAAGGGCACCUAUUCUUUUUCUCAGUCCCCAAGCAUACUCCAUUCACUUCAGAAGGCUUGCAGACACUGUAAAAGAUCUGAAUCUAAGAAAGAAAAGUCCUUGAGGGACCUCCCAUUUUGAGCAGCCAAGACAAGGAAGCACCCUGAAUGUCUGUCAGCGGGGGAAUGGAUAAAGAUGUGGCACAUGUACACAAUGGGCUAGGACUCUGCCAUUAGAAAGAAUGAAACGGUGCCAUCUGCAGCAACAUGGAUGGAUCUAGAGAGGGUCACACUGAGGGAAGUAAGCCAGACAGAGGAGGAGAAACACCCUGUGACAUCCCGUGUGCGUGGAACCUAAGACGAAAUGGUAACAAAUGAACUUACUUAGAAAACAGAAACAGACUCAGAGAAUGAUCUCAUGGUUGCCAAGGGGAUGGGACAGAUAGGGAGUUUGGGAUGGACACCUACACAAUGCCACAUUUAAAAUGGAUGAUCAGCAAGGACCUACUGUAUAGCACAGGGAACUCUGCUCAAUGUUACGUGGCAGCCUGGCUGGGAGGGGCUUGGGGGAGGAUAGGUACAUGUAGUAUGUGUAUGGCUGAGUCCCUGCACCGUCCACCUGAAACCAUCACAACAUUGUUAAUUGGCUAUACCCCAGUAUAAGAUAAAAAGUUAAAAAAAAUGUUGUAUAUCACAGAAAUAACAUUUCCUUGUCAAUUUCAUUGUAAUGAACUCUCAUCAGAUCUUUACCAUUGGGCAUUUUUAAGUUAUUAUUUACAGACAGAUCUUUUAUCCUAAUGCUUUUGCAGAAGGGAGAUUCAUGGAAAGUAACCUACCACGAGCUCUUGAUGGCCACAUGGCUGCCCAAUCACAAGGAUCAAACCUUGGGUAGAGACGUCACAACGGAUGAAGGCUCCACCUACCUUCUGGUCCCUCCUGCACAAAAGCUGGCAAUCUCAAACCAAACUGACUAGGGAGAGAAGUGGCCACCACGGAGAUCCCUCCUCCCCCGGCCAAGAGCUGAUGCAAAGGAGGCCAUGAUCGGCAGUCUCUCCUUACCUCUUGAAGAUACUGCAGACCCUGAUGGUAAAGCAACAGCUGCCCAAUAAAAAAUCCCUAGACUGGCCAGAGUUGUUCCUGAUGAGGCAAGCCUCUGACAGCCUCUAGCCGAGCAUGGAGGUGUCUGAGCUGUGACCCACACCCCUGCACCUGGAUCAACACUUCGGGGGAAGGUGAGACUCAGCCACAGAAGAUGACUGAACAAGCCCAGCACUUCCUUAGGCCAACAGCCCAACCAACAUAGUCUGUCUUUGGGGGUCAUUCUCUUUACAAGAGUAGUUACCAUAGGGUGCUGUGUUCUCUCAGAAGCUUUAAAUACAGCUUUGCAGCCACAGGCAACCAAGCACAUGCUCUCCCUCAAACAGAACAUCAGAAAAGGAGCAGAAUGACUGACUGAAAGAGUGUGAACCCAGGGUCAUGGCCUGUGAAGACCACCCAGAGAUUCAGCGAAAAGCCGGGAAGAACUCCAGAGCCAUAGCUGGGGGUAGCCCUGCUGCCUUACAGUUGGAUCACUGAUGAAAAGGGGGGAACUGUUAAAAACAGCAGACCCAAAAUGCAGUUGUAUAGGCUAAGCUCCAUGUCAUCAAACCGAGACUUGACUUUACAGUUUCAGCUCCCCCAGGAAUGGAAUCCCCCAAUCUGCACGAUGAGGACGUCACCUGCCGUCCCCUAAAGGAAAGCAACUGGGCCGUCACCACCUGCCUCUUCAGCUGGUGUAACUGCCUGUGCCUGCCUGCUCCCUCCUGCCUGCACACCCCUGCUUCUGUGCAUCAUCUUGGAGCUCCUUGCUUUCUGCUGGACUGGAAGCUCCUUGAUUCACAAAUCACUGAAAUAAAGCCAGUAGGAUUUUUCAGAUUUA